CUGUGUGUGUCGUCAUCUUCUAAGAUGUAUCCUAAGUUGAUGUUCGUUUCCUUUAGUAACACGUCGGUGGCACCUGAAAGACUCCACACUUGGAGCCGAAACUCUACUAGUCUCUGUUGGAGGUAAUUCUCUCGCUGCUGCUGCUGCUGCAUGCUUUCUUCGAGCAGUUUAGAAGCUGGGAAAAUCACACCGCGUGUAAACACGGGAACGUAGCAAAAUACCAUGCAAAGUUACCAAGGUCGGUGUUGUUUCUCACAUUCCUGGAUUGUUGAUCAGCAUUUUUCCUAGACAGACAAACAUAUUGUGCCAAACAUACAAAAAGUCUCCAUGUGAUCCGAGCUUACUUGUCGGUGUAUUUUACUUUGUCACGGUAAGGCUUGACCAGAACACGAGCUCCGCAAACAUAGUGGGGAUUGCCUUCGGCCAGAAUGGUCUUGACAGUUUCUGCAUGGAUGAAGGUUACGAAUCCAAACAUACGCUUCUGCUGAUAAGGGAUUCGUACGUCCUGAACAGGACCAUAAGCGCUGGCAAGCAAGCAACAAGGCAGCUACAUGAGAGUGAAAGCGCUCUCAGCAGGGAACGUCAAAUAUAUCUGACGAGAGCUGGGACUUACGAUGCCAUUAUGAUCAUAAUUAUCUCCACGAUGAGCCGCAACCGCAAGCCU